rnacentral:rRNA from 1 species
ACGGGGGGUGCAAGCGUUGUUCGGAAUUAUUGGGCGUAAAGCGCGUGUAGGCGGUUUGUUAAGUCUGAUGUGAAAGCCCCGGGCUCAACCUGGGAAGUGCAUUGGAAACUGGCAGACUUGAAUAUGGGAGAGGGUAGUGGAAUUCCUGGUGUAGGGGUGAAAUCCAUAAAUAUGAGGAGGAUGACGAGUGGCGUAGGCGGCUAACUGGAACGAUCUUGACGCUUAGACGGGGAACCGUGGAUAUCAUGGAG